rnacentral:rRNA from 1 species
GUGGGGAAUCUUGCGCAAUGGGCGAAAGCCUGACGCAGCCAUGCCGCGUGAAUGAUGAAGGUCUUAGGAUUGUAAAAUUCUUUCACCGGGGACGAUAAUGACGGUACCCGGAGAAGAAGCCCCGGCUAACUUCGUGCCAGCAGCCGCGGUAAUACGAAGGGGGCUAGCGUUGCUCGGAAUUACUGGGCGUAAAGGGCGCGUAGGCGGACAGUUUAGUCAGAGGUGAAAGCCCAGGGCUCAACCUUGGAAUUGCCUUUGAUACUGGCUGUCUUGAGUACGGGAGAGGUGAGUGGAACUCCGAGUGUAGAGGUGAAAUUCGUAGAUAUUCGGAAGAACACCAGUGGCGAAGGCGACUCACUGGCCCGUUACUGACGCUGAGGCGCGAAAGCGUGGGGAGCAAACAGGAUUAGAUGCCCGGGUAGUCC